UUCAUGAACCAAACCGAUUUGUGUUUCCGGAACCAAGGUCUGACCUAUGUCUAACUCAGAAACUCUUCGUUGUGACCAGUAACAUGUUUUGUUAAUCAGAUAACAUUGAAUUUGAAUUAUACGGACGCUUUUAGCUUUGAGAUACAAGUGAACAGUUACGAUGAAUCCCUUAUCCUCUUUUCUGAGAACAGCCCGAGUUCUUCUGCCUAGCGUGCUACAAACCAACAAUAUUAGCAGAUGCUUCUCCAUUGUGUACCAGAAAUGUUCUCUCAGUUCAUUCACAACACAGUUUACUUCCUCACGACAGUUAUUAAUGCCAUCCAUCAUUAACCUAGAGCAAACAAGAGCAUAUCAACCAAGAGGUGUUCCAAAGUUAAGAUGCAGACAUUGCUAUUUUGUUACCAGACAUGGUCAACUGUUUGUUGAAUGUUCUAGUAAAAAGAGACAUAGGCAGUUUCAAAUUAUUGGGAAAAGUCGCCGGUUUAAGGAUGAUCUAACUGAAGGGAAGUAUAAGAAUUUUGUUUACCAGGAUUAUAAACACAGGAGAUUUUAUAGGCUCGGAGAAUCAAGAUGGACAAAGAGUGAUCUAGUUGGUGACAGAAUUGGAAAUGACUUGUAAAAUCAUAUGAAAAAAAAAAAAUUAAUGUACAAUAAAAUCAAUUGAAAUAAUUUCUUAAUUUAAUGUGAAAGAAUUCAGGUCUCUCGAUUUUCGUUGGUUUAUUGCUUGAGGUACAAUGAUUUAUUCCAUAUUUUAUCUAUCUUGUCUGCACAUCAUUAAAUAAAAGGUUUCAAAAUA